rnacentral:rRNA from 1 species
GCUCAGAUUGAACGCUGGCGGAACGCUUUACACAUGCAAGUCGAACGGUAACGAGGAGGAAAGCUUGCUUUCCUCUGUCGACGAGUGGCGAACGGGUGAGUAAGACAUCGGAACGUAUCCGCUCGUGGGGGACAACUUCCCGAAAGGGGAGCUAAUACCGCAUGAGAUUCGAGGAUGAAAGAGGGGGACCCGCGAGGGCCUCUCGCGAGCGGAGCGGCCGAUGACUGAUUAGCUAGUUGGUAAGGUAAAGGCUUACCAAGGCGACGAUCAGUAGCUGGUCUGAGAGGACGACCAGCCACACUGGGACUGAGACACGGCCCAGACUCCUACGGGAGGCAGCAGUGGGGAAUUUUGGACAAUGGGCGCAAGCCUGAUCCAGCUAUUCCGCGUGUGGGAAGACGGCCUUCGGGUUGUAAACCACUUUUGUAGAGAACGAAAAGUCUGUUGAUAAUACCGAUGGACGAUGACGGUACUCUAAGAAUAAGCACCGGCUAACUACGUGCCAGCAGCCGCGGUAAUACGUAGGGUGCGAGCGUUAAUCGGAAUUACUGGGCGUAAAGGGUGUGCAGGCGGUUUUGCAAGAUGGAUGUGAAAGCCCCGGGCUUAACCUGGGAAAGCCAUACAUGACUGCAAGACUAGAGUGCGUCAGAGGGGGGUGGAAUUCCAAGUGUAGCAGUGAAAUGCGUAGAUAUUUGGAAGA